rnacentral:rRNA from 1 species
AUUGAACGCUGGCGGCAGGCCUAACACAUGCAAGUCGAGCGGAGCGGCGGACGGGUGAGUAAUGCCUAGGAAUCUACCUGGUAGUGGGGGAUAAAUCACGGGAACGGGCGGUCAUUCCACAUACUAGCAAAUGAGCCUAGGUCGGAUUAGCUAGUUGGUGGGGUAAAGGCCUACCAAGGCGGCGAUCCGUAACUGGUCUGAGAGGAUGAUGAGUCACACUGGAACUGAGACACGGCCCAGACUCCUACGGGAGGCAGCAGUGGGGAAUAUUGGACAAUGGGCGAAAGCCUGAUCGAGCCAUGCCGCUUGUGUGAAGAAGGUCUUCGGAUUGUAAAGCACUGUAAGUGGGGAGGCGUUAUCUACCGAAUAAUCACCGGCUAACUUCGUGCCAGCAGCCGCGGUAAUUC